rnacentral:rRNA from 1 species
GAUGAACGCUGGCGGCGUGCCUAAUACAUGCAAGUCGAGCGAACGGACGAGAAGCUUGCUUCUCUGAUGUUAGCGGCGGACGGGUGAGUAACACGUGGAUAACCUACCUAUCAGACUGGGAUAACUUCGGGAAACCGGAGCUAAUACCGGAUAAUAUUUUGAACCGCAUUGUUCAAAAGUGAAAGACGGUCUUGCUGUCACUUAUAGAUGGAUCCGCGCUGCAUUAGCUAGUUGGUAAGGUAACGGCUUACCAAGGCAACGAUGCAUAGCCGACCUGAGAGGGUGAUAGGCCACACUGGAACUGAGACACGGUCCAGACUCCUACGGGAGGCAGCAGUAGGGAAUCUUCCGCAAUGGGCGAAAGCCUGACGGAGCAACGCCGCGUGAGUGAUGAAGGUCUUCGGAUCGUAAAACUCUGUUAUGAGGGAAGAACAUAUGUGUAAGUAACUGUGCACAUCGUGACGGUACCUAAUCAGAAAGCCACGGCUAACUACGUG